GACGAACGCUGGCGGCGUGCUUAACACAUGCAAGUCGAACGGUAAGGCCCUUCGGGGUACACGAGUGGCGAACGGGUGAGUAACACGUGGGUGAUCUGCCCUGCACUUCGGGAUAAGCCUUGGAAACUGGGUCUAAUACCGGAUAGGACCACUGCCUGCAUGGGCGGUGGUGGAAAGCUUUUGCGGUGUGGGAUGGGCCCGCGGCCUAUCAGCUUGUUGGUGGGGGGAUGGCCUACCAAGGCGACGACGGGUAGCCGGCCUGCGAGGGUGACCGGCCACACUGGGACUGAGAUACGGCCCAGACUCCUACGGGAGGCAGCAGUGGGGAAGAUUGUACAAUGGGCGCAAGCCUGAUGCAGCGACGCCGCGUGAGGGAUGACGGCCUUCGGGUUGUAAACCUCUUUCAGCACCGACGAAGCGCAAGUGACGGUAGGUGCAGAAGAAGGACCGGCCAACUACGUGCCAGCCGCCGCAGUAA
rnacentral:rRNA from 1 species